GCUCUGCUGGAUCAUUUCUACCAUGGGCCCAAGAGUUUCCUUUUGGAAGACUUGGUCCUAAGGCAGCUCCUCUGCUGGGUUUAGAAAUGGAUGCGGACAGUGUGCUGGUAUGAAGCAGGUGCUCCUUCUGAUCAAUGCAUCUGCUGGCUGCUAAUCACCUCCUUUUCCUAGAGAUGUAUUACUUUCAAUCCAGAUAAAUUAGUAUUGUGGGUUCACGCCACGUGGCUUUUGCCUCAGCUGGAUAAAUAGCAUGAAUCACUUUCCCCUUUCAAAGCCUCUCAGCCGCUCAGCUCAAAAUACCCAUUUAAUCUGACUUUAUAAGUUAAUAAAUCACUCAUGAUAAUUAAGCAUGAGCUCCACCUGCCAGCAGAGUGCUAGAGAAGGGCUGGUGUGAUGCUGUGUCUCUUGGUAUAGCCUGGUGCUGCUCCUCCUGCCUGUGUGCAGCCACAAGCAGCAGCAGAGCUGCCUGGGGAGGGAUGGACUUCAUUGCAGCUCUGCCCGAAAUGUCCCGAGCAAGGGCAAACACCACUGCUCGUGCCUUGUGGAUGCAGAG